rnacentral:rRNA from 1 species
UGGGGAAUAUUGCACAAUGGGCGAAAGCCUGAUGCAGCCAUGCCGCGUGUGUGAAGAAGGCCUUAGGGUUGUAAAGCACUUUCAGCGAGGAGGAAAGGGGGUAAGUUAAUACCUUAUCUCUGUGACGUUACUCGUAGAAGAAGCACCGGCUAACUCCGUGCCAGCAGCCGCAGUAAUACGGAGGGUGCGAGCGUUAAUCGGAAUUACUGGGCGUAAAGCGUGCGUAGGCGGCUACUUAAGUUGGAUGUGAAAGCCCUGGGCUCAACCUGGGAACUGCAUCCAAAACUGGGUGGCUAGAGUGCGAGAGAGGAGUGUGGAAUUUCCUGUGUAGCGGUGAAAUGCGUAGAUAUAGGAAGGAACACCAGUGGCGAAGGCGACACUCUGGCUUGACACUGACGCUGAGGUACGAAAGCGUGGGGAGCAAACAGGAUUAGAUACCCCUGGUAGUCCACGCCGUAAACGAUGUCUACUAGUUGUCGGUUGUCUUGUACGACUGGUAACGCAGCUAACGCGAUAAGUAGACCGCCUGGGGAGUACGGCCGCAAGGUUA